UAUUGGGCAAUGGAGGAAACUCUGACCCAGCGACGCCGCGUGAGGGAUGAAGGCCUUCGGGUUGUAAACCUCUUUCAGUAGGGAAGAAGCGAAAGUGACGGUACCUACAGAAGAAGCACCGGCUAACUAUGUGCCAGCAGCCGCGGUAAUACAUAGGGUGCAAGCGUUGUCCGGAAUUAUUGGGCGUAAAGAGCUCGUAGGUGGUUCGAUACGUCGGAUGUGAAAAUCAGGGGCUCAACCCCUGACCUGCAUCCGAUACGGUCGAGCUAGAGGUUGGUAGGGGAGACUGGAAUUCCUGGUGUAGCGGUGGAAUGCGCAGAUAUCAGGAGGAACACCGAGGCGAAGGCAGGUCUCUGGGCCAGAUACGACAGCUGAGGAGCGAGG
rnacentral:rRNA from 1 species